rnacentral:tRNA from 1 species
GCCUCUGUAGCUCAGGUGAUAGAGCACUCGCCUUGUAAGUGAGAUGUCCGAGGUUUGACCCCUCGCAGAGGCUCCA